rnacentral:rRNA from 1 species
UACGUAGGGUGCAAGCGUUAAUCGGAAUUACUGGGCGUAAAGCGUGCGCAGGCGGCUUUGCAAGACAGAUGUGAAAGCCCCGGGCUUAACCUGGGAAUGGCAUUUGGGACUGCAAGGCUUGAGUGCGGCAGAGGAGACUGGAAUUCCUGGUGUAGCAGUGAAAUGCGUAGAUAUCAGGAGGAAUACCGAUGGCGAAGGCAGGUCUCUGGGCUGACACUGACGCUCAUGCACGAAAGCGUGGGGAGCAAACAGG